rnacentral:rRNA from 1 species
UUUAUGGAGAGUUUGAUCCUGGCUCAGGAUGAACGCUGGCGGCGUGCCUAAUACAUGCAAGUCGAGCGAACGGACGAGAAGCUUGCUUCUCUGAUGUUAGCGGCGGACGGGUGAGUAACACGUGGAUAACCUACCUAUAAGACUGGGAUAACUUCGGGAAACCGGAGCUAAUACCGGAUAAUAUUUUGAACCGCAUGGUUCAAAAGUGAAAGACGGUCUUGCUGUCACUUAUAGAUGGAUCCGCGCUGCAUUAGCUAGUUGGUAAGGUAACGGCUUACCAAGGCAACGAUGCAUAGCCGACCUGAGAGGGUGAUCGGCCACACUGGAACUGAGACACGGUCCAGACUCCUACGGGAGGCAGCAGUAGGGAAUCUUCCGCAAUGGGCGAAAGCCUGACGGAGCAACGCCGCGUGAGUGAUGAAGGUCUUCGGAUCGUAAAACUCUGUUAUUAGGGAAGAACAUAUGUGUAAGUAACUGUGCACAUCUUGACGGUACCUAAUCAGAAAGCCACGGCUAACUACGUGCCAGCAGCCGCGGUAAUACGUAGGUGGCAAGCGUUAUCCGGAAUUAUUGGGCGUAAAGCGCGCGUAGGCGGUUUUUUAAGUCUGAUGUGAAAGCCCACGGCUCAACCGUGGAGGGUCAUUGGAAACUGGAAAACUUGAGUGCAGAAGAGGAAAGUGGAAUUCCAUGUGUAGCGGUGAAAUGCGCAGAGAUAUGGAGGAACACCAGUGGCGAAGGCGACUUUCUGGUCUGUAACUGACGCUGAUGUGCGAAAGCGUGGGGAUCAAACAGGAUUAGAUACCCUGGUAGUCCAC